GUUUGACGUGAGGUGGACCAUUGUACUCUCUGAUCUUGUUUGAUCUCGGAAGUUAAGAUAGGUUGGGCCUGGUAAGUACUUGGAUGGGAGACCGCCUGGGAAAACUUGGUGCUGUAAGCU
rnacentral:rRNA from 14 species